rnacentral:rRNA from 1 species
AGAACGAACGCUGGCGGCAUGCCUAAUACAUGCAAGUCGAACGAACUCUUCGGAGUUAGUGGCGCACGGGUGCGUAACGCGUGGGAAUCUGCCCUUGGGUUCGGAAUAACAGUUGGAAACGACUGCUAAUACCGGAUGAUGACGAAAGUCCAAAGAUUUAUCGCCCAGGGAUGAGCCCGCGUAGGAUUAGCUAGUUGGUGAGGUAAAGGCUCACCAAGGCGACGAUCCUUAGCUGGUCUGAGAGGAUGAUCAGCCACAACUGGGACUGAGACACGGCCCAGACUCCUACGGGGAGGCAGCAGUAGGGGAAUAUUGGACAAUGGGCGCAAGACCCUUGAAUCCGAAGUACC